AAUAAUUAAACAGCCGAAAUUUUUCUAACGAAAAAUCAAAACAAUUCAAAUCAGUUAUUGCUCACGAAAAGUUGAAUAGUUAUUAAAAUGGGCAUUAGUUUUGAUUUCGAAAUAUACAUACGAAAAAGCAAUUGGAUCUUUCUAAAACCAAAUGCAUAAGUUAUUUUCGUUUAAAUAAGGAAGCAUUUUGUGGUUUACUAAAUACAAGUACAAUGAAGAAACAUUUCACGAAACGACAACUCGCGGUUUCCUUGCUGCCGGUAAUAUCAAGAUUGCAGUUUAAAUGAUUUUAACUUUAGACUGGUGCAGACAACGAUAACUAUGGUUGUUAAAGAGGUUUUAAAUAUAAUAUUAUCAUCACCACAUUUGUACGCAGUAAAACACAAAUGACUGAGGAGGAAAAAAAUUAUUUAAAAAAAUUUAUUUUACUCAAAAAGUAUAUUCCUAGUGAUGGUGUAGUGUAUCGAGUCUUUAUUUUUGAAACACCCACGGUCCUGAAUUUUAUUUUCACUGUUUCCAAAUUGCAGCUUGCCUCGUCCAGUUUUGAGUUCUUUCUCCACGACCUCAACAAAUGUUUCACCUUUCUAAGUAUAUAGAGUAUCGUUUUUCUGUUCCUUUUGAAAGGAUGUUGGUUUUUCAAUCUUACUUUUGGAAUUAAAAAAUGUUACCUAUUGGUCCAAAGAUAGAUUUUGAAAAAAAAA